rnacentral:rRNA from 1 species
UACGGGGGGGGCAAGCGUUGUUCGGAAUUACUGGGCGUAAAGGGCUCGUAGGCGGCCAACUAAGUCGGAUGUGAAAUCCCCAAGCUUAACUUGGGAACUGCAUCCGAUACUGGAUGGCUUGAAUCCGGGAGAGGUGAGUGGAAUUCCGAGUGUAGAGGUGAAAUUCGUAGAUAUUCGGAAGAACACCAGUGGCGAAGGCGGCUCACUGGACCGGUAUUGACGCUGAGGUGCGAAAGCGUGGGGAGCAAACAGG